rnacentral:rRNA from 1 species
GGGGGGGAGUGAAAUCCCCCCUCUAUGCAGGGCACUUCUGUGAGCCUAACCCCCCAACAUAAACCGGGAUUAGAUACCCCGCUAUAUGGGGGAGGUUUGAGGGGGGGUAGUAACGGCUAGGUCCCCCAAACCCAAAGAACUUGGCGGCAGCCCACCCAACUAGAGGAGCCUGCCCCAUAACCGACACCACCCGUUAGCCCAACCCCCCGCAUGUUUGUAUACCGCCGUCUAAUCUUUAGCCCCCAGGCUAAGGUGUAAAGGAGACCCCCUAAGACAGGUCGAGGUGCAGCGCAUUGGGGGGAGGAGGUGGGCUACAGUUCCAUUGGGAGCAGACCCCCCUUAUAUAGGGGAGGGGCAAGAUGGAUUUAGAGGUACCGGGGGGUCAGUACCCCCCCGCGAAUUGGAUUUGGGCCGUGUACAUAUCGCCCGUCACUCUCAAUAAACUUGAGAUAAGUC